AAGUCGUAACAAGGUUUCCGUAGGUGAACCUGCGGAAGGAUCAUUAACGAGUUAGGGUCUUCUAGGCCCGACCUCCCAACCCUUUGUUUACUGAACCUCUGUUGCUUCGGCGGGCCCGUCUUCUAUUGACCGCCGGAGGUCCGCCGAAAGGCGUCCUCUGGCCCGUGCCCGUCGAUGGCCGACCAAAACUCUGUGAUGAAUCAUGAUCUUAUGUCUAAGUCAUUGAUUAAAACCAAGCAAAACUUUCAACAACGGAUCUCUUGGUUCUG
rnacentral:misc_RNA from 1 species